rnacentral:rRNA from 1 species
UGCGCAGGCGGACUUUUAAGUCAGUGGUGAAAUCCCGAGGCUCAACCUCGGAAUUGCCAUUGAUACUGGAAGUCUUGAAUUUGGUUGAAGUGGGCGGAAUGUAGCAUGUAGCGGUGAAAUGCUUAGAUAUGCUACAGAACACCGAUCGCGAAGGCAGCUCACUAAGCCAAUAUUGACGCUCAGGCACGAAAGCGUGGGGAGCAAACAGGAUUAGAUACCCUGGUAGUCC